UCAGCCAGUCACAUGGGUGGCAUCUGGGAACGGAUGAUCAGAACAGUUCGAAAAACCCUGAAUUCUCUCUUGCACGAUUUCAAUGAACGCUUGGAUGAUGAAUCGUUCCGAACUUUAAUGUGCGAAGUUGAGGCAAUUGUCAAUUCUCGGCCACUAACCACAGUAUCUGACAGUCCUGAUGACCUAUGGCCACUUACUCCAAAUCAUAUCCUACAGAUGAAAACAAGCGUGUCUGUUCCACCUCCUGGCCAAUUCCAGAAGAAUUAUGUAUACAUGCGGAAAAGGUGGAGACGGAUCCAAUAUUUGGCCAAUGUCUUUUGGUCCAGAUGGAGAAAGGAGUAUUUGGUGUCACUGCAGCAACGGCAAAAAUGGACGAUCCCAAAACGGAAUAUCCAAGUGGAUGACAUUGUCCUGAUAAUGGAUGACGGUUUACCGAGACUUCAGUGGCCCAUGGCUCGUGUUAAGUCGGUUGAACCUGAUCAGAAGGGUUUUGUCAGGAGUGCUGUACUGAAAACUCAAACUGGUGAAUUACGUCGACCGAUCAGCAAGCUUAUAUUGCUGUUAUCCAGCAAGUCGUGAUUUUGUCAAAUUUAGCCAUCAGUCAAAACCCAGUGUGUCUGUAUAUACAAGCUUGUGAUUUCUGCACUGUUUGUUAUAUUUGUGUUAAACAGCCCGUCUGUUUAAGAGGCCGAGUGUGUUAGUGCAGAAAGUAUAAUUUAUGUUACAAAUCUGUUAUGCAAAAAUGUUAUGAAUUUCAUGUACAGAUAUCAGCCUUAACAAUGGUCUGUUGGUUAUGUCACUGGACUAGCUGCAUAAGGGUCCAGGGUUCAAUCCCAGGUUCAGGCAAAAGUUUUUGUGACUCAUAAUCAGUUCUGUUGCAUCAUGGGAUUAGUCAUGUGACCUCAUCCACUGUCACCUCAUCCACUGUCACCUUCAGUUUGAAAGGUCUCCAUCUUGGAGAAACAUGUCAUGAACUAUUGCAGAACACAGAUUUUCUUGAACCUCAACACUGAUCAUUUCAACGCUAACGUUCAAAGGAAAAGCAUGUUAACGGAUACAAAAGAAUGAGCUUUUCAUUUAUUAUUGUCAACGAAUAACGGACAAUAAACAUCAAUUGAGAGUA